CAAGCACAGAGUUCCUGUUGUUGUAUUUGCUGGGCGGGGAAUGAUUAUCAAAUGAAACUUCCUGCCCAGCAGUGAGCAUGAAGUUCUAGGGUGUUUGGUGAAAAGUAGAAAGAAUUCUUCAACUCUCUUAAUUGAAGGCAAAUAUAAAGCCACUGUCAUUCCUCCUGUCUGUGUAUCUACUGUUGUAACUCAUGUGAGAGGAAUAAACCAGCGCUCCCUAUUUCUUUAGUUAUUUAUUUAUUUGCUGUGGAUCAGAAAGGGCCAACCUGCUUGAGAUCUUCUGAGAGACCCCCGUCUCUUCAAAAUGCCAAGAGAAGGAGAUUAGACACGUAAGAAACUGGCAUAGAAAUAAGCUGCUCUCCAAGUCAAGCAGCUUUCCUGCCCACAGAGGAGCUUUCCAGUGCAAUUGCUUUCAGAACAUGGAACAUACUUGCUGAGUGACCGAGCAGUGACAGCCAGAGAUUAAUGUGCCCUGCUCUGCACGAGGUUGUGGAGGAUUUUGGGAAAAAAACCUUUGUGCUUCCAGGAAUACAUGAUUUGAAAGCAAUAAUGUGCCUGAUUUGUCAAGAAUAACUAGUUGUGUUUUCUUACUGAAUUGCUUAUGGGAGACAGAUUUUCUUAUAACUGGAAUUUCAGUGCCAUGGCAGAUCAAUGUAUCCAAUUAAAAAGCUUUAAUCAGAAGAACACAGUAUCUUUGUUUAACAUGUAAAACUGAAGUAAGCCAAUUUUUUGUUGUUGUUAUUAUCUAGCAAUGGUGAUGCACAGAAGUACAAAGGGAAGAAGCUUGAGGUGAGGUGUGAUCUCACAAAAUGUUGCAAUUGCAUUCACGAGCAAACAGCAGAGGAGGACAGUGAGACAGUUAAAAGCAGAAGAAUGAACAACCAUCAGCUACUCUGUUCAGCAGCUGCUGUUUCUAAGGAAGCUGAUUAGAAACUGACAUGUGAUUUCUUAUUUAAAACUGUGAUUAGUUUGCUUCCUGCUCCGUUGUUGACUGGAUGGAAAAUAUGCCAGACUUUUCCUUCAGAUUGGGAGAGACACUGUUCAGAUGAUGAACUUCUUGAUACAAAGAGGAAACUGGAUUUCAAUUUGAAAGGUGGCUUUUCUCUCCAAGAUGCCUUAAAACAAACAAACAAACAAACAACAACAACAACAACAAACUGGACUGCAUAAAAGUAGGCAUGUAACAUCCAUCACUGGGCUCAGGAUAUGCUCAUUCAUUACACUGCCACAUCUGCAUGCAGGUUCUGGAUGCCUUCUGUAGGAUCCAUUUCGUGCCAGCAGGAUGAGUUAAUCGAUUUGAGCUGCUGGAAAAUGAAUCAGUUUCACUUAGUGACCACAGAAUUGCUUGAUCUAAUGGAGAGGAAGAAAACCAGCCUUGAGAGAGAGGUGACCUUAGUCUGAUGGUUAGGGCAUUUAGGUGGGUGGCAGCAGGCAUUAUUAAAUUCCAGCUCAAAAGUAGGUGGGACAGGAUUUAUUGUAACUUGUCUCAGCUACACUGUAAGGUUGUUUUGCUACUAGGGCAUUGUGUGUAAGGUGAGCGUGUAACAGUCACCCUCUAGUCACUUUCUCUAAGGGUGGAUAGGGAGGUGUACACCAAGCAUUCCUGCUUUGUGGCUUUGGUCAGGAAGCCUGGGUGAGAAGAUUCUUUCUGUAAGAGUAAUGGCAGGGUUCAGAGAAGGGCUGUUUCACAGCAGCUCUGUGUUAUGACAUACUUGUAACCUCAGUGUCUGGUUGCCAGCAGAAAUUAAAACAUAGACUUCACGUGCACCUACAGUUUGAUGGCAUUUCACCAGGUACAUUGGGAAUCUGAGAGAUUUUGUCAGUGUUGCAAGUUCCUCAGAAUUCAGUGAUGUGUUUCAUGCAGUUCCAUCAGUGUAAGUUUUAAGACGUGACCAUGAGUGGAAAGGCUGUCAGGAAUAUUCUGUGAUAAACAAGAGAAUAUUUUUUUUCCUUUGGAUCAGUUGAGAAUAACGCACAAGGACAUAAAGAAAGGGAAUUGGUGGAAAUAGUAGUAGUAUCAAAUACCAGAAUCUGUAACAAUUCAGUAUAAUAAAGCCUGCAGUAUAAGUGCCUGCAGAAAUGUAUACGGUAGAUGCUUGCUUUACACUGCCACCCUCAUGCAGAGAUUUUUGCUUAAGAAAUGCCACCUUUAGUUUGUGUCAGGAAUAUGAAAUGACCCUGUCCUAUGAACGACUUACAAAUAUUUGGCAUUUUGAAUCUUUCAUCAGCUAUCUCUCUUGACCUUGUUUGCCCUGUUGUAGACUAAUAAAUAGCAAAAAAAACCCUUGCUGUUGCAAUUCUGACCCAGUCCUAACAGUGUUCAUUUUUUUCAGUCUGUAGUGUUGCAUGCAUUGUCUUUAAUAUUGCUUUUAAAUAACUGUAGUGUUUAUUUUUGUGUGCUGCUACGAUAUCUGAUAUUUUCACUAUUAUUUUUGUCACAGAUCCAACAUUCUGCUAAACCAAAGGAUUUUAUUUAUUUUAUUUUUUUAUUUUUGUAAAAAGAGAACUUUUACACUGAGGGUAAAAUACUUUUAUGCUUUCUUCCCUGUGAUCUAGCAGCAACAAUACAUCUGUGCAGGUAAUACACAAACUUCUAGAGCUUUUCCAGUCAAGAGCAUCCAUGCCUUUGAUAACCUGGCAAUCCACCCUUGCUACUCAGCACUAAAAUUCUGUUCAUUCUCAGUGGUUCUUCUUCUUUACCCCCUUUCCCCAACCACACAUAUUGAAUGUUGUUUGCAUUCUGUAUAGUUUAUUAUCCUUUGCUUGUACUUACAGAGUUGAUGAGUUACUUCACAUAUGGGCUAUUCAAAUAAAAAUAUGGUUGGUGAGUAAUUCACAUGUAUGCUUAUAUUUAAGUUGAUACUUGCUUAAUGUACACAACUGAUAUUUUUAGAUGAGAAGUUGCAUUAAGAAUGAAAUGUUCUGCCUCCUAGUGGUCCUAGUCUGCAAGACAUGGAAACAGUGGUCUUUCUGUUUCAGAAUGGCCCCGUCCUGUGGUGCUGCUCUGUAUCUGCAGAUUUGCUGGUUUGUUUGUUUUCUUAUUCUUUAUUUUUUAUUUCUUUGUCAUAUGAAGAUGAUGAAGAGGGCUGGAACACCUCCCCUACAAAGACAGGCUGAGGGAGCUGGGCUUGUUCAGCCUGGAGAAGAGAAGGCUGUGAGCAGACCUCAGUGCAGCCUUCCAGUAUCUAAAAGGGGAUUAUAAAAAGGAGGGGAAUCAACUUUUUACAAGAGUAGACAGUGGUAUGUCAAGGGGGAAUAAUUUUAAGCUCAGAAAGGAAAGGUUUAGAUUGGAUAUCAGGGGGAAGUUCUUUACCAAGAGAGUCGUGAGGUGCUGGAACAGGCUGCCCAGAGAGGUUGUAGAUGCUCCAUCCCUGCAGGUGUUCAGAACAAACUUGGAUGGGGCCCUGGGCAGCCUGGUCUAGUACCAGAUCUGGAGGUUGGUGACCCUGCCUGUGGCAGAGGAGUUGGAACUUAAUGAUCUUUGGGAUCUUUUCGAACCCAAGCCAUUCUGUUGUUCUAUGAUAUGUUUAAGCAAAAUGAGAAUGUGGUUUUGUAGGAGUCUUGGUUCACUUGAUUAAUUUUUUUGCAAGGUGAUAACUUUAAUUUUUAGAAGCAUGCAGGAAAGAAGAUGGAGACUGUUGAAGGAAAAAAUUGGCUGCAGGAAAUAGCUGUCUUAACGUUUCAGUACCAGUUUACAAGAGAGGUGGACGAAUUUUUUUCAAUUGUAUGCGAAGUUGGGUAUGGUUGGUUUUUUUUAAAGUAUUCUUAUUUAUAUCACUACUGACAUGCUAUAUUAGGAAUUGGUGGAUGCAUGCGAUAGCAAAUACAUACACAUUCAAGCAAUUGGAAAAGCUAUUGCCUCAUUAAUAAUGUGCUUUUCCAUGUAUUUUUAUUCCUGCAUUAAUGGUAUGUACUUGUCCAAUUCAUUCCCUCGAUUAAAAUAAGUUCAUUUAAGAUGAAAAACAUAAUAAACUCAAUCCAGCUUUCAAAAUUGUCAGUACCAUUUUUAUAACCAAGCAAUGAAAAUUAGCUUGUCUGUUGCCACAUAAAUUUGGAUAAUUCUUGCUAACUGUUCUUACAGAAUUAAUUAGGAAGUGAUACUUAGUAAUAGCUAACUAUUUUUUCUUGUGUGCAUAUUGUCUUUAAGGUGACAUAUUAAAUAACAAAUCCUUUCCAGUUUAAUCUUUGCCAUCAGAUGAACCUUGUCCUGUCACAGAUGAAUAGUUUUAUUUUCUGAAGUAUUUUGCUGAAGGCAACCUGUUUCAGUUGUCAUUCUGAUGUGUUUCAGCUUGGUGUUUGCACAAUGUAGAUAUCUCUAACAAGACUUGUGUAUUUUCUUCUCUUUUGCUACACCAGAAGUGGUACUUCCAUGUGGAUGACUGCAUUUUGAUUAAUUCUUUUUUUUUUUUCCUUUGAUUUGAUUUCUCUCAAUUGUACAUGUUACUGCAUUCCAUUUUACUGGACAGAACAUGCUACUAUCUGCCUUGGUUAGUCUAUCGUCUGUCUUACUUAUGUAAUGAAUGACACCGCCAUGGCAAUUUCUGUUUCUUGUAUGUAGAACACAGUACUUGUAGCACUCGUAUUCACUUCUGUUUUAAUGCAAUUUUAGCAGUAGAAACUAUGGGGGGAAAUAAGUAAAACCAUCAGUUCAUAGAAUCACCAAGGUUGGAAAGAACCUCCAAGAUUAUCUAGUCCAGCCAUCCACCUACCACCAAUAUUUCCCCACUAAACUAUGUCCCUUAGUAUAUCUAAACAUUUCUUGAACAUCUUUAGGGAUACUGACUCCACCACCUCCCUGGGCAGCCCAUUCCAGCACCAGAACAUUCCAUCAGAGAAGAAAUUUUUUCAAAUAUCCAUCCUGAACUUCCCCUGGUGCAACUUGAGGCCAUUUCCUCCAGUCCUCUCAUUACUUAUGUGGGAGAAGAGACUCACCACAACUUCCUUUCAUGGAGCUGUAGAGUGAUAAGGUCUCCAAGCAAGGGUAUGCUUGUGGUAACAGCCUCAGGUGUUUUCUAUGCACCUGUGGUACACAGAAACAUGAUGGUGUUCACCGCUUCAGAGGAUGGAGCUUGCCUUCCCUUGUGCUUCAUUGUGUCUGACACUGUACUUGCCUGAGGAGUCAGAGAUGAGUACAUGAGUCACUCAGGGAGAUCUCUGUCUGCCCAUGGGUUUUCCUCAUGCAGCUUUGCAUCCUUGGCAGGCAGGGUUUGGCCUGAAGAAGUAGCACUUAUGUUGAUUGCUACUAGGUAACUUUAAUG
ensembl:lncRNA